CACUUUGUUCCAAAACGCCAAGUGAAAAGGUAUUCCAAAUUCGUUACGGAAUUGCGGUGUCGAUCUACAUUUUGAAAUUUAAUGGCAAUCUGGCAUAUAAUUUCCACUUGGCCAAAUAAUCGAUCACGUGGACUGAAACUGCUUUCCAUUUUGCCGAAAUGUCGUCCGUUGUUGGCUGGACCUGUUCGGAUGUACGUCUCAUCUCACACAGAAACACUACAGAGUUGGUGCUCAGGUUGGAGAUCCCGUUGCCUAACUGUUGCAGAAUGUGAGAGCUCAACAAAGUCUGAGCUCCAUGGCUGGAUCAUUGCAGUGGUUUUGUUGCAGCCAGCUGGUGAAAGGUGUGAUCGAGUCAAGUUGAGCUGCAGCUGCUGCAUGCAGUUUAUCGAUCUGGUUAUCCUGAAGUGUCAUUGUAGGAAGAAUUUUUGAAAUGGACUUGGUGAUACUUAAACUAUGCCUGUGCUGUUCUAUGUCCAGUGGUUUUGCAGCCUGUUUCCGGUUGAGAGAUGUGAUAAUGCAGCUGAUACAGGAUUAAAGAAAAAGAACUGAAGUAGCUGUGCUGGUGUUCACCUGAAAUUGCUGUGCCACAAGAGUUGCAGAUAGUGUUUGGUUCCUCAUAGAAGUUGAUAGAAGUUUAUUUAAAGAGUCUGGAGAUUAUCAGCCACUUCUGCCUUUAACUUAUGUAAAACUUCAAAGUUGUAAGAAAUAUACAAGUCAAGUGCUAAA
rnacentral:lncRNA from 1 species